AGCAGCCGCGGUAAUUCCAGCUCCAAUAGCGUAUAUUAAAGUUGUUGCAGUUAAAAAGCUCGUAGUUGAAUUUCGGGGUCAGUAGGUCGGUCGUGCCACUGGUAUGAACUGGUUUUACUGAUUCCUCCCUCUUGAAGAACUGUAAUGCCAUUAAUUUGGUGUUGCAGGGAAUCAGGACUGUUACUUUGGAAAAAUUAGAGUGUUUAAAGCAGGCUUUAGCUUGAAUACAUUAGCAUGGAAUAAUGAAAUAGGACGUUUGAUCCUAUUUUGUUGGUUUCUAGGAUUGACGUAAUGAUUAAUAGGGAUAGUUGGGGGCAUUAGUAUUCAAUUGUCAGAGGUGAAAUUCUUGGAUUUAUUGAAGACUAACUACUGCGAAAGCAUUUGCCAAGGAUGUUUUCAUUAAUCAAGAACGAAAGUUAGGGGAUCGAAGACGAUCAGAUACCGUCGUAG
rnacentral:rRNA from 1 species